GAUGAACGCUGGCGGCGUGCUUAACACAUGCAAGUCGAACGGAAAGGCUCCUGCUUGCUGGGGUACUCGAGUGGCGAACGGGUGAGUAACACGUGGGUGAUCUGCCCUGCACUUCGGGAUAAGUCUAGGAAACUGGGUCUAAUACCGGAUAGGACGAUGGUCUGGAUGCCAUUGUGGAGAGUUUUUUCGGUGUGGGAUGAGCCCGCGGCCUAUCAGCUUGUUGGUGGGGUAAUGGCCUACCAAGGCGUCGACGGGUAGCCGGCCUGAGAGGGUGUACGGCCACAUUGGGACUGAGAUACGGCCCAGACUCCUACGGGAGGCAGCAGUGGGGAAUAUUGCACAAUGGGCGCAAGCCUGAUGCAGCGACGCCGCGUGGGGGAUGACGGCCUUCGGGUUGUAAACUGCUUUCGCUAGGGACGAAGCGCGAGUGACGGUACCGGGUGAAGAAGCACCGGCUAACUACGUG
rnacentral:rRNA from 1 species